GAUGAACGCUGGCGGCGUGCUUAACACAUGCAAGUCGAACGGGAAACAUUUCAUUGAAGCUUCGGCAGAUUUGGUCUGUUUCUAGUGGCGGACGGGUGAGUAACGCGUGGGUAACCUGCCUUAUACUGGGGGAUAACAGCCAGAAAUGGCUGCUAAUACCGCAUAAGCGCACAGGAUCGCAUGGUCCGGUGUGAAAAACUCCGGUGGUAUAAGAUGGACCCGCGUUGGAUUAGCUAGUUGGCAGGGCAGCGGCCUACCAAGGCGACGAUCCAUAGCCGGCCUGAGAGGGUGAACGGCCACAUUGGGACUGAGACACGGCCCAGACUCCUACGGGAGGCAGCAGUGGGGAAUAUUGCACAAUGGGGGAAACCCUGAUGCAGCGACGCCGCGUGAAGGAAGAAGUAUCUCGGUAUGUAAACUUCUAUCAGCAGGGAAGAUAA
rnacentral:rRNA from 1 species